rnacentral:rRNA from 1 species
UACAGAGGGGGCAAGCGUUGUUCGGAAUUACUGGGCGUAAAGGGCGCGUAGGCGGCCUGUUAAGUCGAACGUGAAAUCCCUGGGCUCAACCCAGGAACUGCGUCCGAUACUGGCAGGCUUGAAUUCGGGAGAGGGAUGUGGAAUUCCAGGUGUAGCGGUGAAAUGCGUAGAUAUCUGGAGGAACACCGGUGGCGAAGGCGGCAUCCUGGACCGAUAUUGACGCUGAGGAGCGAAAGCCAGGGGAGCAAACGGG